UUGAGUUUGGGCUCUAAUAUUAAAAGUCAAGCUCGAUUUUGUUAGGCUUUUUUCAAGUUUAUAAUAUAUUAGUUAUUCUUUUUUCUUUUAUUUAUUUGUGAAUUUUUUUAUUGUGUGAAAGUUAUAUAUGAAAAUAUAAAAAAGCUUAAUAACAAAUUUAUUUACCUUUUUUUUAUCAAAUUGGUCCUUAUUUUUUUAGUUAAAUUUGAC
rnacentral:lncRNA from 1 species